rnacentral:lncRNA from 12 species
CCCCUUUGUCAUCUUGUUUCCGCGGCAGACGCCCAAAAGCUUUAUGUUUGUAAUAGGGCCAUACUGAAAAUAAUUCAUCUAUUAACAAUGAAAUUGAUAAAAUAUGGGAUAUUUAACCAAAGAAAUAUGCUGUACAUAAACAAAAAUAAUUGAACUAUAUACUCACAUGCCACAAUAUGUAUGUGUUUCCAAAACACUGUUGAGCAAAAGGCUUAAGUUACAAAAGAAAACAUGCAACAUGGUUUCAUUUCUACAAAAUUCAAAAAAAUAGGUGAAACCUAGUUUCUUUAUAUGGGUGCUCCAGAAGCAAAUCCUAAAUCAAGGAUUUAGGUUCAAGUAUUAAGUUGAAACAUAUGAAACUAACUGAUACUCAAUCGUUUGUGAUUUACACAAAUGGCAAAUAUGGUUCAGUGAAAGAGUUUAUUUGGGAGGGAAUGAAAAUGCAGUAGAGGUGGGGAAAUAGAUAAGGAACAGAAGCAGAUGAUACAGGGUAUAUUUUCAAGCCAGUUACCACUGUGGAUGACGAGAGCCUAAUCCCAUCAGGGAAACUCAAGGGAGCCAGAAUUUUGGACAUACCAGAAUUAACUUAUUUUAGGGGCAAGGAAGGUAAGAUAUUUAUACACCAUUUCCUAUUCUUUUUUCUGAGAGGACAUGCAGUAAAUACGAUGUAGGGCAGAUGUGCUGCCAACCCAAGAAGGACAUGUAAUAUGAGAGGGACAUAAACCCUGGUGGUUUUAGGUCAUAGAUAUCUUGAGGACUUUUGUGACCAAAUCAUCACCUCGUCCUGACUGAACACCUAAUGCUUCAGCCUUUCCCAAAAGGCUGCUUGAAGGGAGUGUGUAGAGAAAGAGAAAACAAUAGGGAAUAUUUCAUAGGUUGGAAGUUGGGAGGAGAGAUUCAUCUUAAGUAAGUGGGGUGUAAGACUAGUGGUCUCCUGGCUGGGGAGAUAAGGAACAGCAUCAAGAUCAAUCCCCAUUUACUUUGAGGUCCUUGGUGGGGAGGGAGAUUGUCCUCCCACUGGAAGGUAAAGUAACAUAUGAGAAUGAUACACCUCCAGUUCCUGAGUACAGGGAUCAGUGUAUUUUGUUGCAAAGGGUCAAAGAUCCUCUUCCUUUUUUGGAUGGGUUAACCUGGAAAGAAGGAUCCUCAUCAGUGUCCAGUUGAAGUAAAGCAAUGUUUUCAAACCAACCUGUUUGUCCUCCUUUCUCCAUGUCAGAAGUAAGCACCCUAAAUAGUCUCACUUUUAAAAUAUUUUUUACUUUUGAUAUAAACACAUACAAUGAUUAGGAAAAUAAGCAAAGGGUGGAUUAGAAAGUGUUCAAAUUCUUAAAAAGUACUUGCCAGGCUUGCCUCCCCCACCCCUUGCCCCUCUGCCCUGCUGUCCUUCCCAACCUUAUUCUCCAUUCCCCAUUUAAGUAUAAAUGAGCCAGCUCUACUUUUAGCUAACCUAUUUCCUUUUUCUCAAACUCUUUGAAAGGUCCCUUGGGAGUUUCAAAUCAUCCCUUCCAGCCACCACUCUUUUAUUCCUAAGGGUUAUCAAGCCCUCUACCCUUUUUGAGAAAGGUGCUAACUAGCCUGCCGUUCAAAUUCCCACAGACCUAGGAGGAUCUUUUUCAAUUUGAAGGGAGCUCUAAACCGUGUCUCUAAUCUCAAGGUCCAGCCACCUGGCUUGACCCUCUACUUUCCCUAGGAAAAGCCAGUUGAGGUCAUUGCCUAACAGAAUCCAGGCUUGAUCGACCUGUUGGGAAGUGCCCAGAGGAGGUGUGGGUAUUAUAAUGCUGAC